GGCCCAAAUUUGAAGUAGAGUAGAUCAGAAGGGUCAUUUCACCCUACUAGACUACUCUACUUCGAGUUUGUGCCC
rnacentral:pre_miRNA from 1 species